ACAGAUGUUUCUUCACAGCUAUCUUGUGGAACAUUAUAAGAUAAGGCAGGAGAGUGGGCUUACAUUUUGAUGGAAAGCAUCCAAAACAAUCUUGAAGAUGAUCUCAUUUCCCUUUGUAAUGACAUCUUGACUGGGAAGGUUGAUGAGAGUAUCUACCAUGGACAGACUCAGCUGCUGUCUCACUUGCUCAAAGUUUUAAUUCAAAGUGACACAACGCAAUGCGGAUCACUAACUGUCUUAGAAUUUAGUGAGGCAUUGAAGAAGGCUUUCCCUCUGAAGUCAGAUCAGGACAUAUAG
ensembl:lncRNA